UACGUAGGGUGCAAGCGUUGUCCGGAAUUAUUGGGCGUAAAGCGCUCGUAGGCGGUUUGUCGCGUCUGCUGUGAAAACUCGGGGCUUAACCCCGGGCCUGCAGUGGGUACGGGCAGACUAGAGUGCGGUAGGGGAGACUGGAAUUCCUGGUGUAGCGGUGAAAUGCGCAGAUAUCAGGAGGAACACCGGUGGCGAAGGCGGGUCUCUGGGCCGUAACUGACGCUGAGGAGCGAAAGCGUGGGGAGCGAACAGG
rnacentral:rRNA from 1 species